UCCUGCGUACAGGGAACACGCAACCCCGAAGGAUCGGGGAAGGGACGUCGCCAGGGAGGCGAUUCAUCAGGACGAUGACGAGGGACUGAAGAGUGGGCGGGGUAAUACCCCGCCCCUUUUUUU
rnacentral:sRNA from 1 species